UACAGAGGUCCCAAGCGUUGUUCGGAUUCACUGGGCGUAAAGGGUGCGUAGGUGGUGAGGUAAGUCGGAUGUGAAAUCUCCGAGCUCAACUCGGAAACUGCAUUGGAAACUACCUUGCUCGAGGGUUGGAGGGGGGACUGGAAUGCUUGGUGUAGCAGUGAAAUGCGUAGGUAUCAAGCGGAACACCAGUGGCGAAGGCGAGUCCCUGGACAACUCCUGACACUGAUGCACGAAAGCUAGGGGAGCAAACAGG
rnacentral:rRNA from 1 species